AUUGAACGCUGGCGGCAUGCUUUACACAUGCAAGUCGAACGGUAACAGGGAGCUUGCUCCGCUGACGAGUGGCGAACGGGUGAGUAAUAUAUCGGAACGUACCCAAGAGUGGGGGAUAACGUAGCGAAAGUUACGCUAAUACCGCACACGAUCUAUGGAUGAAAGCAGGGGACCUUCGGGCCUUGUGCUCCUGGAGCGGCCGAUAUCUGAUUAGCUAGUUGGUGAGGUAAAGGCUCACCAAGGCGACGAUCAGUAGCUGGUCUGAGAGGACGACCAGCCACACUGGAACUGAGACACGGUCCAGACUCCUACGGGAGGCAGCAGUGGGGAAUUUUGGACAAUGGGCGCAAGCCUGAUCCAGCAAUGCCGCGUGAGUGAAGAAGGCCUUCGGGUUGUAAAGCUCUUUUGUCAGGGAAGAAACGGUAGAGGCUAAUAUCCUUUGCUAAUGACGGUACCUGAAGAAUAAGCACCGGCUAACUACGUGCCAGCCGCCGCAGUAAUAC
rnacentral:rRNA from 1 species